GAUGAACGCUAGCUACAGGCUUAACACAUGCAAGUCGAGGGGCAGCAUUUUAGUUUGCUUGCAAACUGAAGAUGGCGACCGGCGCACGGGUGAGCUAACACGUAUCCAACCUGCCGAUAACUCCGGAAUAGCCUUUCGAAAGAAAGAUUAAUACCGGAUAGUAUACGAAUAUCGCAUGAUAUUUUUAUUAAAGAAUUUCGGUUAUCGAUGGGGAUGCGUUCCAUUAGUUUGUUGGCGGGGUAACGGCCCACCAAGACUACGAUGGAUAGGGGUUCUGAGAGGAAGGUCCCCCACAUUGGAACUGAGACACGGUCCAAACUCCUACGGGAGGCAGCAGUGAGGAAUAUUGGUCAAUGGGCGCGAGCCUGAACCAGCCAAGUAGCGUGAAGGAUGAAGGCUCUAUGGGUCGUAAACUUCUUUUAUAUGGGAAUAAAGUUUUCCACGUGUGGAAUUUUGUAUGUACCAUAUGAAUAAGGAUCGGCUAACUCCGUGCCAGCAGCCGCGGUAAUACGGAGGAUCCGAGCGUUAUCCGGAUUUAUUGGGUUUAAAGGGAGCGUAGGUGGAUUGUUAAGUCAGUUGUGAAAGUUUGCGGCUCAACCGUAAAAUUGCAGUUGAAACUGGCAGUCUUGAGUACAGUAGAGGUGGGCGGAAUUCGUGGUGUAGCGGUGAAAUGCUUAGAUAUCACGAAGAACUCCGAUUGCGAAGGCAGCUCACUAGAC
rnacentral:rRNA from 1 species